rnacentral:lncRNA from 10 species
AGAGGUCGCUGCGAGACGGUACCCGCGCCCCACAGUCCACCCGCUCCUCGGAGUCCCCCCGCGCCCCGGAGUCCACCCGCGCCCCGGAGUCCACCCGCGCAGGUCCACUUCUCCAUCCCUGCUCUCGACCUCCGCCCCUGCGGUGGGGGAAGUUCCUGGGGCGGUGGCUGGGACCAGGCCGGGUUUUAGGCGGGCGCAGAUUUCCGGGCUAACUUUCCUCGCCGUCUCAGCGCGGGAAGGGGGAAAUGGGAAACCCGGGCCAGAGCAGCGGAGCUUCCCAGCCGCACACUUCCUCCCUCCAGCCGUUUGUCUCGGCAGGGGAGGGCCCAGGCAGCCAAGCCGGCAGGCCCACUGGUUAUCCGACCUUGUGCUCUGGCCGUGGGUGGAGACCUUACAUCCAGCUCAGAGCGCCUCCUCCCAUCCCCUGUGUCCUCUAGGCCUCCCCAGACUUUGCCUUUUAGCCUUCCAGUGAAACAAGUUCUGUAUCCAAGAUAUACAAUUAAGUGGACAAAGCAGAUUGCAGAAAGUCUUUUCGUAGCUCACAAGGGGACAUCAAAGAUGACAAAGAGGAGUGGAAGAAGACAGAGAGAAUCAAUGUGAGGAGCCUGGAACAGGGCUCUGAAUUGUCUUCCCACAGUGAAAUCACUUGUCUAUUGCUGAGCCAAGAAUUUGACUCUGAGCAUCUAGGAUGAGAAAGAAGAACUGGCACCUACGCCAUCUCUGCCCCUCGGGACUGACUAUUUUGGCCCAGUUUCCUCAACAAUGAAAUGGGACUAAUUAUCCCAGGUCACACUUCUCUCUGGGCUUACCCUGGGAAUCAGAUGAUUGAGCUUUGGAUCUCACUCUGUUGCCCAGGCUGGAAUGCAGUGAUACGAUCAUGACUCACUGCAGCCUCAAACUCCUGGGUUCAAGUAACCCUCCCACCUCAGCUUUCUGAGUAACUGGGACUACAGAAUGCCCCACCCCACUUAGUCCAUAGUGAUGCCCACCUGUGGUUAAUGGAGCUGAGGCUGCUGGACCAAAGGGAGGAAGUCUGUUAGGCAUAUGUGGAACCCAAAAGAGGAACUUCAUCAACUGUCAUGGACAGCUCUGCCACUUUGUGACCCUGUGGACUUUUUGGGAAGUGUUUUUGUGGUUCACCAGUCUCUCAUUAGGCAAGGCCAUUUGUCCUGGGUUGGUCUUCUUCAUUGGUGGAAAGUACAGCUGGGAGAUUUGGAAUGGUUGCAGAUUGACUUGACUCUCAUAAGGAACUGCCACCAUGAGCUUUUGGGGAAAGACCUCAAGCUGUGGUGUGUUGCUGAGGAUUGUGGGAUUCCUCCAAAUCUUGGGGAACAUUUUGAGUCAUCACUGGCAGCAGAUUUCUGUUGACAACUUGAGCAACUUCAGAAUGAAGAAGCCAUCUUCAUCUCUCACAUGAAUAUGACUUUGGGUAAAUCAUCUCGAAAUCUGAACCCAUGGUUGUGAUCCACACUCCUCCUGAGUUCUGAUUUUUAGUGUAACCUUUUUCUUCUCAUUUUUUCUUCUUUGUGCAUCUCUUAAGGAGGUUUUUAAAAUCUCAUAAUUAAAAAAUUUAUUUCUUC